rnacentral:rRNA from 1 species
UGGUAAUGCCGGAUGCUCCGACUCCUCGCAUGGGGUGUCGGGAAAGAUUUCAUCGGUAUGGGAUGGGGUCGCGUCCUAUCAGGUAGUCGGCGGGGUAACGGCCCACCGAGCCUACGACGGGUAGCCGGCCUGAGAGGGCGACCGGCCACAUUGGGACUGAGAUACGGCCCAGACUCCUACGGGAGGCAGCAGUGGGGAAUAUUGCACAAUGGGCGCAAGCCUGAUGCAGCGACGCCGCGUGCGGGAUGACGGCCUUCGGGUUGUAAACCGCUUUUGAUCGGGAGCAAGCCUUCGGGUGAGUGUACCUUUCGAAUAAGCACCGGCUAACUACGUGCCAGCAGCCGCGGUAAUACGUAGGGUGCAAGCGUUAUCCGGAAUUAUUGGGCGUAAAGGGCUCGUAGGCGGUUCGUCGCGUCCGGUGUGAAAGUCCAUCGCUUAACGGUGGAUCUGCGCCGGGUACGGGCGGGCUGGAGUGCGGUAGGGGAGACUGGAAUUCCCGGUGUAACGGUGGAAUGUGUAGAUAUCGGGAAAGAACACC